rnacentral:tRNA from 1 species
AAGAUUUUAAGUUAACCAAACUAAUAGCCUUCAAAGCUUUCAUUAAAAUUAAAUUAUUUUAAAUCUUG